rnacentral:lncRNA from 1 species
UGGCUCUCAUUGACGCCUAGAAGAAAUUGUACACAUCCGGUCGGUGUUGACUAAAGCUGAACUUGAGGUCCUCCCGGUUGAGGGUAGGGUUAAAGAAGACGUUGAGAAGAGAAGGGUAUGCUUCCUAUGUUUGAAGACGCGGUUUGGCAUUUUCGGUCCGUGGGGACAGAAAUGUAAACUGUGCAAGAAAACUGUCUGUCAAAAAUGUUGUUCGAAGAUGCGGAUCCCGACGGAGCACUUUGCGCACGUGCCGGUGGCGCUGCUGAGCCCGUCGCUGCUGCCGUCGCCCGAGGACGAGCAGCAGUCCUUCCCGCGCUCGCUCAUGGCGCGACUGGU